CAACCCUCAGGACCGCUAUUCGUAGCGGGACUGGUGUUGGGGAUCAGCGUAGGCGCGGGGUUCUACCUCGCCAGCUGGCCCUGAAAUACAGUGGCGGUCUCGUCGCGGACUCCCUUGCGUAGUAACUAACCUCGCUCGCGGAAGACCGGCUUGGCCACGCCGUAAAACCCCCUAACUUUUUAU
rnacentral:misc_RNA from 1 species